CUCAAAAUUGCUCUUUCCAUCCAAGGAGAUUUGUCUUGAAUUUAAACCAAUAAAAUGACUAUACUGCACCUACAAGGUGUUAAGUACAUGUGUGUAAACUUGGCAUACUGAAAAAUAUAACAAACAAACAACAACAACAACAACAAAACACAAAAAAAUCAGUUACCAAGGAAAUGCUGCCUAGUGGACAGAGCACUUGGCCCUCAGGGUACCUGAGUUUUAUUCCCAGAUCUGUGUCAUCAGCUUGGUCUUUGUGACGCAACAUUGCUGUAUGCAAAAACCAUAGCCAUCUCCUUGGUACAGUGUUCUGAGAUUUGCUGAAGAAAAUACAUUAGAAGCUCAUGUCAGCACAGAGAUGGUCCAAACCCCACAAAAUGGGAUUCCACAGCAUCUUCUAGCUCAAAUGACUAUCCUACAUCCAGGAUCUGGGAGAGUACUUGGAUCAAACUCAUCUUCACUUCCACUGUGUGCAAGAACAGCCACCGUUUCACCUUCAGCCUGCCAGGUGACAAAUGGAGAGUUACAAGACAAGCAAACACAUCCACGACCCCAUUAACAGAGACACUAUAACAAAAUCCAUUCACCACACCUGAAGGACAUCACUAGUAUACCCAGGAAAAUGGAAUCAUUUCUGAAGUCAUCAGUGCUCUUCCUUCAAGAUUAUUAAAGGCUGAAGAAUAUUAUUCAUAACGAAGCUCAAGGAUUUACAUUCAAUUUCUACUUUCAUAUUAAAUCUACCAAAUCUAAAAGAUUUUGGCAGCAUCUUAAUAACAGUCAUCUCAAAGUGUUUAAGACAGAACUCCACUGUCCCACAGAAACACUGGCGAAGAAAUGUGAGCUUGAGGACACAUUAAUCACUUCUGUAAGGUGUACUUUAUAAAAUACAGUGAUUUAAAAUGUAGGCAGUCUUCCACGCCAGUUGAAACGAAAGUGCUAAAAUCUGAGUGGAAUUAAGUGUCCUAUGGGAGUUUCUGCCAUUCACUGCAAGUGAUGUGUGGUCUUGAGGCUCCCUCCCAUCUCCCCUCUGGGGCUCAGCUCCCCUCAGUCUUGCAGCCCUUCUUUGGAAGGCAAGUUUCCCCACGAGUGUGGGAAUGCCUCACUAAUUCCUUAACAGAAAGGGCACUCCAUAAAGGUCUUGGAUGAUAAAAUAAAUCUGACUGCACUGCAAGUGGUUCUGAACCAACAGCACCACUUUUGUAAAUGUUACUACUGUGAAUGGGCAGUAACAAAGCAGACAGUUUGGAGGGCUUAUGCAACUGCAUAUGCACACAAAAACACAGACAAAAAGCUCACAGGCAAUUUUAAGUGACACAGAUCUGAGAUUCACACAUUCUUAUAGCGAAAAGCAAAGCAAAAAAACAACAAAAAAAAACCCCCACAAAAACAAACAAAAAACCCCAAUGAAAUUAUAGUUAAAUACAUCACUAUCUUCUGUUUACAUUUCUAAAAAAUAUCCCUGGAUGAAUUUUCAAAGCAGCACUCAUUUAAAUGAUACUUUAUCCUGUGAAUAACUUCACAUAAUUAAAUAUUUAAAGUUAAUUACUGUUGUGAUUUUUCAUUACUUCCAUCCAUCUCCAGGCCAAAGUUUUAAAGUACACUGUUCUCAAGUGCACAGAUCUCACCACAAUAAACACAAACAAAACCCACAUCAAAUUCUUUUUUUUUUUUUAAUAUUGGCAUAUAUGGUAAGUGAAAGGAAAUGAGCUGGUGAGGGGUAAGAUUAGUCAGUGCUGCAAGGGCCUGUCCAGCAACACUUCUACAAUGCCCUGAAAGCAAUGAGAAAGAGCUAAAAGCCACAUUUGCUAUUAAAAGGAAAGAGAAAAAAACAUAGGAAACAUGCAUUUUGUUCUUGACUGUUAUAAAAUACAAGUAAAGGUAAUUGCACAGCUGGCUGUAUGAAAUCACUAAGGGUAUCAUCAGACUCAGCAGCACUGGGAACUACCUGCAGUAACACAGGCACUGACUGAAAAGCAUGCUGAUAGGCAGGAACUUCAGGCA